rnacentral:lncRNA from 10 species
GCUUACAAAUUCACACAAAGGAGUUAGCACAAUGCCGGGCACCACCAGGCUCUGGCUGCUGUGUCCAUGUGGUUGGGAUGCUGUGGUGGGCCCAGAGCUGGAUGAGAUGCCGAGCUGGGACUCUAUCAGGUGGCUGGUCACCUUCCCUGCUGAGGGCAUCAGACCCUGAGACCUGGAGCUUUCAGCCUGACAUUUGGCACAACCUCAGAUGCAGUGAUCAUGGAGCAUUCUCUGGGAAGAUGGGCCUCAGUUGUUUCCUGCCCUAGCCUGGAAAACACAGAGAUCUCUGAAGACAGCGCAGACUGAGCUCAUCAGAGCCAUGGGGAGGAGCCAGCCCAGGUAUCAAAGAGGCCCUCCAGAAUCCUCAAUCUGUGAUAGUCCCCCACUCAGUUAUUCUCUCACAAAGCAUCUGGCUCUUCUCCUUCAGAGCACUCAUCCCAAGGGACAUCCCUGUUCUUCCAGCUCUGCUCAAACUCUGCUGAAAGACUUUGGUUCUCUGCCCUUCACAUCGUUUUCUUGAGACAUUGCAUUCCUCUGCUAUCACUCUGAUCCUAAUAGUCACAGUGAACAAGACAAGAAACUGACCACAGAGGCACCUAGCAGCUUUCCCAGGGUUGCAGAAUUGGUAUGAGGAAGUGGUCCAGAUGCAAGCCUGUGUCUGUUUGACUCCCAAGUCCAUGCUCCUCUCUGUCCCUCCCUGCACCGCUCCACUUAGAAGGAUACGAAGCUUGGGAGCAGAUCCACACCACUACAGCUAUGAUUUGGAAGGAGCACAGCCAUCACUGAUGUCACAACAGUCCCCGCAAUUCCACAGCACAGUGUUGAUUUCAUUGCACCACAGUGUAGCUCUAGGAGGUAGGGCAGGAUUCGUGCCCAUUUUAUAGACAAAAAUGCUGGGGUUCAGGGCUUGACCUAGGCCCCAUCGAGGAAAGUAAUAUGGUUUGGAUGUUUGUCCACUCCAAAUCUCAUGUUGAAAUGUGAUUCGCAGUGUUGGAGGUGGGACCUGGUGGGAGGUGAUUGGAUCUUGGGGAUGGAUCCUCAUGAAUGGCUCAGCACCAUCCUCUUGGUGAUGAGUGAGUUCUCGCUCUGAGUUCACAUGAGAUCUGGUUGUUUAAAAGUGUGUGGCACCUCCUCUACCCUCUUGCUUCUGCUGGCACCAGGUAAGACAUGUCUGCUCCCACUUCACCUUCCACAGUGAGUAAAAGCUCCCUGAGGCCUCCCAGAAGCUGAGAAAAUGCUGAUACGAUACUUCCUGUACAGCCUGCAGAACUGUAAGCCAAUUAAACGUCUUUUCUUUAUAAAUUACCCAGUCUCUGGUAGUUCUUUACAACAAUGCAAAAAUGGCCUAACACCGACAGAGAGGAGCUGGAACUCAAAACAAGUUAUUUUUUUUCCCCUAAACUUGGCCGAAGGUGGGAAUCUCCUGGUGUGUUUCCUUGGGUCCCAAUUCAGACCUUAAAAUCAGAAUUUCAGAGAAGAAAGUGCACAGCCCCUGCCCCUUCAGAUAAAGCUCUGUUGCCAGAGAUUUACAAAUUUAUUUGAAGCCUUGGAACGUUUUAUUCCAAAAAUCUUUAUGCUGGAGAAAAAACCCAGUGUAUCCAAGGGGUAGGUGAUGUCCACCCUCCAUCCUACUCAGAGCCCCAAGGGUGCCUCUGGGCCUGGGUCAAGCACCAUGAACCACACUCUCAUUCAGAUUCCAAGUCUGCCACUCAUCAACAGUGGCCCCAACAAUUUUUGCCAACUUCCCUGUGCCUCAAUUUCCUCAUCUUUACAAUGGGAAAAUAAUGUUAUCUGCCUUGCAGAAUUGUUGUGAGGAUCAAAUGGGCAAAUGUCUGUUAAGUACUGAGAAUAGUGCCUGGCAUAUAAGAAGUGCUAAAUAAAUAAAUGUCAUUCAUUGGG